UACGUAGGGGGCUAGCGUUGUCCGGAAUCAUUGGGCGUAAAGCGCGUGUAGGCGGUCCGGUAAGUCCGCUGUGAAAGUCGGGGGCUCAACCCUCGAGUGCCGGUGGAUACUGUCGGGCUAGAGUGCGGAAGAGGCGAGUGGAAUUCCUGGUGUAGCGGUGAAAUGCGCAGAUAUCAGGAGGAACACCAAUUGCGAAGGCAGCUCGCUGGGACGUAACUGACGCUGAGACGCGAAAGCGUGGGGAGCAAACAGG
rnacentral:rRNA from 1 species